rnacentral:rRNA from 1 species
UGGGGAAUAUUGGACAAUGGGCGCAAGCCUGAUCCAGCUAUGCCGCGUGGAUGAAGAAGGCCCUAGGGUUGUAAAGUCCUUUCGUUGGUGAAGAUAAUGACGGUAACCAAAGAAGAAGCCCCGGCUAAUUUCGUGCCGGCAGCCGCGGUAAUACGAAAGGGGCUAGCGUUGUUCGGAAUUACUGGGCGUAAAGCGCACGUAGGCGGCCUUGUAAGAUGGGGGUGAAAUCCCUGGGCUCAACCCAGGAACUGCCUUCAUGACUGCAAAGCUUGAGGAUGUGAGAGGUUGGCGGAAUUCCGAGUGUAGAGGUGAAAUUCGUAGAUAUUCGGAAGAACACCAGUGGCGAAGGCGGCCAACUGGCACAUUUCUGACGCUGAGGUGCGAAAGCGUGGGGAGCAAACAGGAUUAGAUACCCCCGUAGUCCCUGAGCGGGCUGGCAAGGCGCAU